rnacentral:pre_miRNA from 1 species
AAAAUCUGUUAACGCAGGCGCAAUCUGUUUACCGGUCUGUUCCCGCUAUGUUCACCCUUCCGAUCCAUCCUUGCCUCACACCUGAGGCAAGGAUGGAUCGGAAGGGUGAACAUAGCGGGAACAGACCGGUAAACAGAUUGCGCCUGCGUUA